GAUGAACGCUGGCGGCGUGCCUAAUACAUGCAAGUCGAGCGAACGGACGAGAAGCUUGCUUCUCUGAUGUUAGCGGCGGACGGGUGAGUCACACGUGGAUAACCUACCUAUAAGACUGGGAUAACUUCGGGAAACCGGAGCUAAUACCGGAUAAUAUUUUGAACCGCAUGGUUCAAAAGUGAAAGACGGUCUUGCUGUCACUUAUAGAUGGAUCCGCGCUGCAUUAGCUAGUUGGUAAGGUAACGGCUUACCAAGGCAACGAGGCAUAGCCGACCUGAGAGGGAGAUCGGCUACAUGGGAACUGAGAAACGGUCCAGACUCCUACGGGAGGCAGCAGUAGGGAAUCUUCCGCAAUGGGCGAAAGCCUGACGGAGCAACGCCGCGUGAGUGAUGAAGGUCUUCGGAUCGUAAAACUCUGUUAUUAGGGAAGAACAUAUGUGUAAGUACCUGUGCACAUCUUGACGGUACCGAAUCAGAAAGCCACGGCUAACUACGUG
rnacentral:rRNA from 1 species